rnacentral:sRNA from 1 species
CGGCCGUCUCUCUCUCUCUCUCUCUCUCACUCACGAAACUCACGAAACCAAACCCUACACUAUUUCUCUCCCGAUCUGAGACUAACCCUCACCUCAUCGGCCGCCGUCGGUGCGCGCUCUCUGUUUCUCUCUCGACUCGUCACUUGGCUCUCUCUCACUCUUAGUCACAUCUUUAAGUCUCUUAGAGUCGCGCGAGACUCAUUCUCUUUCUCCAAACCGAACCAAACAUCAUCCAAUUUUAUUGGUUUUUGGAGCGAAUCCUUGUAAAUUCUGGAGGGCUCUGGUUCAUUCUAAGGUAAUUUGUAUGUAUUUGGUUUGAAUUCUUAGUUGUUUUCAUUUUCCCUAAUUUAGUAGAUUAUUAGGGUUCUGAAAUUUUGGUAUUCUGUUGUAAUUAACACAAUUUGUUCUUAAUUUUGCAGUAGUUGUGCUUAGUCUCUGUGGGUUUGGAUUAAUAGGCAAAAUUGAAGGUAUAAAUAUUUCUGUCUCAAUCUCUAUUUGUGGCUUAAAAUUGAAUGUGUGCAUUAGAAUUACAUAUUUUUAUAUCAUCAGCUCCACAUGGCUUUACUUUCGAUGUAUGGAUUUUUGGUAUUUCUUUCUUUAUGCUUAUGGUUUAGGCUGUUUAGGGGGUCCAAUUUGAGCUGGAUUGUUCCACAAUCUUGUGUGGCUUUAUUCUGCGAGAGGCCUAAGUUGUUUGGUGAUAGUAAGAGGGGUGUGGUUCUGGGGAUAAUUCUUUCGUUUCUAUAUAUUCAGUUUGGAGAGUUGUUUCCUAGUGCCUUGUUCUGUUGUUGUGGAUGCUUGUUUUUGCUGCUUUUGCUGAGAGUUUUUUUUAGUGUAGUGGACUUCUUGUCCUCUGUUUUUGUAUUUGUUUGCUUUAAUCAAUGAAUUCUGUUUCAUAUAAAAUAAAAUAUGAUCUAGUCAUUUAGUGUAAAGUUACCUAGGAGGUACCUGUUAGAAAUCCAUGCAAUAUAUAAAGUGUUAACCUUGCUCAUAAAUAUGGUAUAAUGUUCAUUAAAAUAUUAAUAUAAAAGAAAUGAACGGAUUUUUGAAGAUGCGAGGGGGCAGAAGUGGAGGAGGUGCGGGAAAAAGCAAAGUACUGGGCAGUGCUGUAGGCUUCUGUUUCUCCUAUUUUUGGGAAUUCAUCUCUUUCAACCAUUUUGCUUGAUUGGGCUGCAGUGUCUUCAUUAGGAUUGUUUUUCUCAUAGUUGUAAAUGUCGGUACUAGUUUUCUUGUUUCCUUCUAUUAUUGCUGGAAUACUUGUCCACUUUUCUGUAUGGUUUUUUAAUGAAAAAAAAAUUUCUCCCUUUCUUUAAAAAAAUAUUUAUAUAUAUAAUAUAAAAGAAAUCUGCAUAUACUGCCGCUUUUUAAUUAUUUAUUAUUGCAAAUUUGUGGACCUAGAACCUUAGGGGAAGUAGACGAUUGGGUAACUAGUUCACUUAUUUUAUUUUGAUGUGAUUAAAUUGCACUUUAGAUGAUUAUUGAAACUUUUUUGGGUAGUUAGUUUAAUGUGUUUUUCUGGUGGAAUUUCAUUAAUUUAAUAAUUUGUUUGUAACCUAUCUUUGCUGUUGCUGUUUUGAGUGAAGCUUGUUUAUGGAACGAAUGAAGUUUGUUUGUAACCUAACCCUUUUUUUGAUUUCAUUCACAGUUGUUUAGCGUCGCUGCUGCUGCUGCUGCUGCCUGCUGCCUCCUGCUGCUGCUGCUGGUAUUCUGAGCUUUGAAAGUUUGGAAAAUUUUGCUUAAAUGGAGGUAAAUAUUCGUUGCUGCUGCUAAUCUCUUUAAAUCUGUUUCUGUAAUCUGUAUAAAUCUGUUUUUGUAAUAUGUUUAAAUCUGUUUUUGUAAUCUGUAUAAAUCUGUUUUUGUAAUAUGUUUAAAUCUGUUUUUGUAAUCUGUUUAAAUCUGUUUUUGUAAUCUGUUUUUGUUUAAAUCUGUUUUUGUAAUCUGUAUAAAUAUGUGUUUGUAAUCUGUGUUUGUAAUCUGUUUUUGUAAUCUGUUUUUGUUUAAAUCUGUGUUUGUAAUCUGUUUAAAUCUGUGUUUGCAAUCUGUGUUUGUAAUCUAUUUUUGUAAUCUGUUUUUGUAAUCUGUUUUUAUAAUCUGUUUUUGCAAUCUGUUUUUAUAAUCUGUUUUUGUAAUCUGUUUUUGUAAUCUGAUUUUUGGAUAGGAUAUAUGUUUAGGGAGUUGUAUGCAUAGGAAAAUCUGUUUUGACAGUUUAAAUGUGUUUUUUUUAAUAGGAUAUAUGUUUAUGUUUUAAUAUGUUUAUGGUUUUAAAUAUGGCUGUGUUUAAAUAUGGUUUUAAACUGUUUAUGAAUAGGAACCUGCUUCUAAUGAGGCUGAAAUGCAUGGGAAUGAUGAUUCUAUACCUUGUAAUGAUGCUGUUGUACCUCCUACAGCAGCAUCACAAAAUCCAUUGAAAUGGGUAAUAUUUUCAUUUCUAUAUGUAUAUUUGAAUCCGAUUAUUUUCUUAUUUUUAUGUGUUCUAACUCAAAUUGGUUUGAUUUAUUUUAUUAUAUUUUGUAGAAAUGGGGAGUAAAACAUCCAUGACAAAUUUGAAUAAGACUCUCCCUUCUUAGUGUGAUUAAGAUAUGUUGGAAGGGAUUUUUAUUGCAUCUUAUUUUAAUUAUGAUUUGUUGAUGGUGAAACUUUGUGUUAAUUCUUUUAAGUGUUGUGUAGGUUGCUUUGUGAAGGCUUUUGGAAGAAUGGAUGCAGCAUAUUUUUUUGCAAGGAUAUUAUCUCUAUGUGUAUUUUUGUGAUGGGUUGUAAUCUUUAAUGUCAUAAGUUUAAUUUGGUUGGUGUAUUAUUUUUUGUAAUGGUUUGUAAGAGAUUAUAUUUCCUUUCCUUGGUUGGUUGGUUGAAUGUGUGUGUGAG